UUCUGGUUCAAUUCCUCCGGAGGUUGGUAACUGCACUUCUCUAAUUCGCCUUCGGCUUGUCAAUAACAGAAUCAGUGGGGAAAUACCGAAAGAAAUCGGGUUCCUCAAAAACCUCAGUUUCCUUGACUUGUCUGAAAACCAUCUUGAUGGGACGCUGCCAGCAGAAAUUGGCAAUUGCAAUGCGCUACAGAUGCUGAAUUUAAGCAACAAUACCCUUCGUGGCACUUUGCCGAGCUCUUUAUUUUCCCUGACAAGGCUUGAGGUAUUGGAUGUUUCUGUGAAUCAAUUUGUGGGUGAAAUUCCAAGG
rnacentral:misc_RNA from 1 species